UACGAAGGGGGCUAGCGUUGCUCGGAAUGACUGGGCGUAAAGAGCUCGUAGGCGGUUUGUCGCGUCUGCUGUGAAAUCUGGAGGCUCAACCUCCAGCCUGCAGUGGGUACGGGCAGACUAGAGUGCGGUAGGGGAGAUUGGAACUCCUGGUGUAGCGGUGGAAUGCGCAGAUAUCAGGAAGAACACCGAUGGCGAAGGCAGAUCUCUGGGCCGUAACUGACGCUGAGGAGCGAAAGCAUGGGGAGCGAACAGG
rnacentral:rRNA from 1 species